rnacentral:rRNA from 1 species
AGGGUUCGAUCAUGGCUCAGGACGAACGCUGGCGGUACGCCUUAUGCAUGCAAGUUGAGCGAAGCUUUUCGGUAGUUUACUACUAGAAACGACUGAGCGGCGAACGGGUGAGUAACGCGUGAGCAAUCUACCUUAGUUACUGGGAUAGCCCGAGGAAACUCGGAUUAAUACCGGAUAUUCUUAUUUUUUCACAUGAAGUUUUAAGGAAAGGUCAGCCGAACUAAGAUGAGCUCGCGUUCUAUCAGCUAGUUGGUGGGGUAAAAGCCUACCAAGGCUACGACGGAUAGCUGGUCUGAGAGGACGAUCAGCCACACUGGGACUGAGACACGGCCCAGACUCCUACGGGAAGCUGCAGCAGGGAAUAUUGUGCAAUGAGCGAAAGCUUGACACAGCGACACCGCGUGUGGGAUGACGGUUCUAGGAUUGUAAACCACUUUCAGGAGGGAAGAAAAUGACGGUACCUCCACAAGAAAACCGGCCAACUAUGUGCCAGCC